rnacentral:rRNA from 1 species
GAUGAACGCUGGCGGCGUGCCUAAUACAUGCAAGUCGAGCGAAUGGAUUAAGAGCUUGCUCUUAUGAAGUUGGCGGCGGACGGGUGAGUAACACGUGGGUAACCUGCCCAUAAGACUGGGAUAACUCCGGGAAACCGGGGCUAAUACCGGAUAACAUUUUGAACCGCAUGGUUCGAAAUUGAAAGGCGGCUGCGGCUGUCACUUAUGGAUGGACCCGCGUCGCAUUAGCUAGUUGGGGAGGUAACGGCUCACCAAGGCAACGAUGCGUAGCCGACCUGAGAGGGUGAUCGGCCACACUGGGACUGAGACACGGCCCAGACUCCUACGGGAGGCAGCAGUAGGGAAUCUUCCGCAAUGGACGAAAGUCUGACGGAGCAACGCCGCGUGAGUGAUGAAGGCUUUCGGGUCGUAAAACUCUGUUGUUAGGGAAGAACAAGUGCUAGUUGAAUAAGCUGGCACCUUGACGGUACCUAACCAGAAAGCCACGGCUAACUACGUGCCAGCCGCCGCGGUAA